UUCCGGAAGAGCAGCGCGAAAACGAAAUCAUGGACGUGUGGGGGAUCUACGUUCAUGAAUGGAAUUGAGACUUUUGAUAUCAACAAUAUAGUUACCGAUGGUGACUGCUUGUUACAUAUGCAAGAGUGUGGUAGUGCUGUUACUGUACCAAAUCGGCAGUGACAGUCAAGACAAAUUUAUAAAUCAUCAGUGAUGUUUGCCAGUCUUUGGCAAGCGACAUGUGCUUGACACCAGAUGAGAGAACUUUCUUUAAUCAAGUUUACAAUGAUGAAAUUCUUGAAAAUGUCCAGUUUCUGGAUGACUGCCUUGUGCCAGGCAAGAUGCUUGUUCGCACUUCAAGGGAAAAGGCAUGGAGUUUAUAUCAUGCUGCCUACAUAAAGAACAUGAAAAUCUGUAUUGACUGCUGCAUGGCUUUGCAGGAAAGCGUUGGAAAAGUUAGUUGCUCUAUUUUCCAGUGAACGCAGAGCUAACUCAGGCAUGCCAGCCAUCAGCAUUCAAUGAUAAAGGGAAAUAUACCAUAUCUCAUAUAGGAGGAAGCAUUGUAAAGAAAGUAAAAAGAUUGUGCAAAGGGAGGUAACAAUGUUUGGGUGCCCUAUGCACCAGACAUGGUACAAGCAUGCUGACAGCCUCUAGGUAAGGGCUAAUUUAUUUAAAUGAAAUGAAAAGGCUGAGGAAUUGUUUUAGUCUCUAGAAUAUAGGUUUUUACAAACAUGCAGAAGUACUCACUAAAGUUGAAGAAGUGUAGAUUUUGCAAUAGCCUGUGCUGAUGAUGAAGAGCUGUUACAUAAUUUUUACACUAUUAUUUACAAAUCUGAUAUUAGUGAGACUGCUAAACAAAGUGUGUUUUGUAUGGUUGCUCAUCUGUAUUUUCAAAUAAGAACUGUUGUCCUGCUCUAGGUAUACUGUGACCUUUCAAUGAACGGGCGUUUUCUGAUCACUGCUCUCUCUUUCUCUGGGAGAUUUCCUGUAGCGACAAUUGUCGGUGCGCUGUCCCUCGUGACAUAAGCGGUCCGUGGUUCACAGGCCUACUGAUUCCAGGGGAGAUAAAAGGUAUGUUGCUGAUGUAACACCAUCUCCACCGCUAACUCAUCCCCACAGUUACCUAUUCCACCUUACGAUAGCCCGCUUACUAUAGGGCGUCCUCUCAACACGUGAAGGGAGAAGUGCGGCACCAACGCGAUAGCCCUAUUCUUAGCUAUCAUAGGACAAUCUAAUUAUGUUUUAAAUGAAUUUCUUAAAGCCUCUUUACAAUAAAUACAUGAACCUUGUUCAGCUUUGUUUUACAGUGUUUUGUAACACUAAUAAGCCUGGUUAAUUGGAAUGAUAUGUCCAUUGUAUAAGGUAGAGAUGAUAAUUUGAAUGUUGUUAUCUACAGAGGGAUAUAACUGUAUUUUUGUGUAUUUUGUGCAUCAUUCAAAUGUACAUUUCACUAUUUUUUUAUAGUAAAUCUAAAAAUCUAUUUAGUUUUAGUUUAAUUAUUCCUCGCAACUCCCCAUGGAGCACACGGGGCCACAACACCUCUCCUUUAAUCAUUUGAAAUUGAAGUAUUUAAAAGUCUGCUCAUUUAAGAAAAUUCCUUUGCAUUGACUGAUCACUAUUUAAUGAAUUCCUAUACUUUUUUCUCUUUUUUUGAGUAUCAUUGAGUCAUUUGUAUCAAUACUGGUCACCAUUUGUUGUACAUGUAAGAUUAAUUGUUAGUGUAAGAUGUAAAUGUUUCCUGAGUUUAUACUCAAUGACAUUAAAUAUGUUUUA